GGAUCACCGGCCCGCACCCCCUUCGCGUGCCUCCCACAUCCGCCUCCCCGAGGGGGCGGGCCUUGGAGUCCCGCCGCGGGGGUCCCGUGGGAUCCCGGGCCAGAACCGUGGGGCCAGAGCCGAGACGGGACACGCCGUCUGGCAACCGAGCUCCUCUGGGAUCUCUCCUGGAUGGGUUUGUCUACCCCUUGGCCGCCACCAAUCCUUCAGGAUGACUCAUAUCGGGAUGGAACCUCUUGAGGAAGGAAUGACACGUCGGGGCAGGAGAGUCUUGUGAUCAGACGGUGCCCAUGUGAUGCUGCAGGGGUGGGCUAGCCUGGAGGCCAUGCUCUGUUGAGAAGCUGCUCCACCACCACUGCCUCCUCCAGCAACCUCUGGUUUGCGCCUCUCUACCUGCUUCCCAGAUCCUCUCCCUCUUAUCCACCAAACCCCAGCCUUGCCCCUGGAGGUAGAGGAAAGCUAGUGGAAAGAGCCCAAGCUUGGAGUCCCAAAACCUGUUUGGGAGCCUUGAUUUCCAUACCAGUACGAAGGGGUUGAUAUUUCCUUCUCUAAACACAUUCUCAGACUUACAGCAAAAUAUGCGUGGAAGCCCUUUACCGGCUGUUUCGAGGAGGGAGGCAAAGCUGUGGGGCAGGAGUAAGAGCCCUGAGCCAGGAAUCAGGAGCCCUGGGGCUGGGCCAUGAGACCUGGGCCUCUAUUUCCUUACCCGGUCAAAGAUGAGUAAUAAAUAUUGCCCGUUCUGCUAACAGCUACCUGAGUCGUUAUUAUAAAGAUUAAUGUCUGACUGCUGGAGAGGCCUUUGAAGAAUGAGGCAAUCAUUUUGAGAAAAGUAUAGAAAUCCCAAAUAAGCCCUGGGUAAAAUAAAUAAAAUUUUGCAGACAAGUUGAUAAUGAGAAGCUACGGUAACCACCCCCUGCCCCUCUUGGUGGGGCAGCCCCCUCUCAAGGUUUUUACUAUUUGUUUCUCUGGCAUUUACUUCAGUUAUGAUACGUUUACACUGCUGUCUCUAGAUUUUAAAGUUUCAGGAAUUAUUCAAAAGCCUCAGGCUUUAUGUCAGGUAGAUACUCCCUCCCCUCUUUCCCUCUGAAUUAUCAAUCAUCAUAGUAUUAUUUUGUAACUUUAAAUAAUACACGUGAACCUUUAGUUCCGGUUCUAUCAGUAUUAGACAGUAUCUCUUAAAUCUUCACUAAUUAAAGAAGUUGUACCCCCUCCCUUCCCUAGAGCUGCGAUUCUGAUGCGAUAAAGGCAGCCAUGUUGAAUAACUGAGGUAGUGAACGAUCUUGUUACUGGGGAUGUUCAGUGGACACUCCUGAUGCCAGAGAUACCUUGAGGACCCUGCUGAGCAUGUUGCAUUGGACAGAAGUUCCUGGAGGCAUAAAGACUUUCGCUCAAUCUUUGUUUCUAGUGUAUUAGAACAGCCAGA